CCCACUCCCUCUAACAUGUAAACUCACUGAGCAGGGCCCUCAAUCCCUCUGUUACUGUGUCACUAUACCCCACUCCCUCUAACAUGUAAACUCACUGAGCAGGGCCCUCAAUCCCUCUGUUACUGUGUCACUAUACCCCACUCCCUAUAGCAUGUAAACUCAUUGAGCAGGGUCCUCAAUCUCUGUUACUGUGUCACUAUACCCCACUCCCUCUAACAUGUAAACUCACUGAGCAGGGCCCUCAAUCCCUCUGUUACUGUGUCACUAUACCACACUCCCUGUAACAUGUAAACUCACUGAGCAGGCCCUCAACCCCUCUGUUACUGUCACAAUACCCCACUCCCUCUAACAUGUAAACUCACUGAGCAGGGCCCUCAAUCCCUCUGCUACUGUGUCACUAUACCCCACUCCCUCUAACAUGUAAACUCACUGAGAAGGCC